rnacentral:rRNA from 1 species
UACGAAGGGGGGCUAGCGUUGCUCGGAAUCACUGGGCGUAAAGGGUGCGUAGGCGGGUCUUUAAGUCAGGGGUGAAAUCCUGGAGCUCAACUCCAGAACUGCCUUUGAUACUGAAGAUCUUGAGUUCGGGAGAGGUGAGUGGAACUGCGAGUGUAGAGGUGAAAUUCGUAGAUAGUUCGCAAGAACACCAGUGGCGAAGGCGGCUGGCUGGACCUGACCGUGACGCUGAGGCGCGAAAGCG